CGGGCGGGAGGCGGCAGGCAGCGGUCGGGCCGCUGUGUCCCGGCCGCGCCGGCGGCUCCUGGCGAGCAGCACCGAGGCCGCGCGGUGGAGCUGCUGCUCUUGGCUGAACACGUGCCGCUGAUUCACCUGUAAGGUCCUGGUUUGUUCACUGCUUCUCGCUGCUGGUACAGGAGGUGGAAUCCCGGUUGUGCAGUGCCGCAUUGGAACUUCUGGGUGGGAAAGAUGAAUUAAUGAGCUGAAUUCUUAGCAAUAUAAUAUUGAACAUUUAUUAGUAGAACAAAGGUAUAUCACAGCGCUGGAGCGCUUGGCAAUAUUGCCAGAGGCGCCCUCCAUUCAUUUUACUGUGGACUUAAGUACUCUCAAGCUGUUGCAUAUUCAUUAAGUCCAGAAAGUAAUUUAUACUUCACUCACCUUUCCCCCCCUCUCUGGUCUCUGCUCUCUUCCGUCAGCAUUGAAAACAGGCACUCUCUCUUUGGUGCCUCCCCAGUCUCCAACCUAAUUUGUAGCUGACAGUUUCCUUGGGAAGUGUGACUUUUGAUAACAGACUUCCUGGGAUGCAUGCCGUUUAUCUUUGUUUCUCUGAGAGGUCUUGGUUCCUGGCUCCGUAGUUUCUCAACUCAAAAGAUAUUUAUUACCAUGUGUUUAUUACUACAUUUCUUAACAUAUUACAACUAUUUCGAAGUUACAAUUUACCUUACUCUCAUUUCUACUUAAGUACAUUUUACCUUAGAACUAUUUCUACAUAGUACAUUACCACUUAAAAAUGUUAAAAUCCGAUAUGCAAAAGACAACAUUCAUCAUUCACUCCUUUAUCACAUGGGUUAAUGUUAAGUCUUGCCAGAUGUUUUUUACAAGGCUAAAUUCCAGUGAGUCUGUACCAAAAAAACAUUUGUCAAGAUAAGAUCCUACAGGAAUGACCUUGGUAGAAGGAAAAUAGCUGUGAGCAGAAGCACCAAGGAAUUGCUGCUGGCUCCCAGUGUCCUUUUUUUUUUCCCAGGAAGGUGUUGUAUUGAAUUGAAAGGUGGUUUUCUUGCCUCUAGGAAGUAGCACCCACAUCCUGCUGGAAGGAGAAAGUGGGGAGACAGACAGUGCCAAGUAGGAGGAAGGACCAUUUUUAAAUCUGCCUUUGGAUUCCACUUCCUCGCGGUGGCAUCUGUGCAGUCCAAAGGAAGUAAAUCCUGGAGUACCUGUUUGUUCACCUGUUGAGCUUGGAAGAGACACACACUGGACAUGAAAUUCUGGGAAAGCUGCACUUGCAGUAGUGGCUGGAGUGAGAAGCAGUGGAAGCUGUUCACUGUCUGCUGGUUCCCUAUCUUUGCCUUAGUACUCUGGAGCUCCAAGGUCACCUCAUGUCACCUUUGCUUUUCCAGUAGCUUUGCUGAAGGGUUUCUGAAUGUGGCCGUGGGCUUUGCUGCAGCUGGAAUUUAUUUCUGUUUCAGGAAGCAUCUCACUGUAGAGUCUGUGAUUUAAUAGUUCCUGUGCCAGGUUAAUUGUACUGGAAGAAGGCAAAUGAAGCCAAGAGGGUCAACUAGGAUGUCCCAGACCCCUGUCAAUCACACGUUACAAAAUACCAAACCCCCAGGUUACAAAAAUACACACACACACACACAAAAACACCACUACAAAAAAAAAAAAAAGCAUACAAAAAACUAGCUUCCAAAAUACCAGAAUAACCUAGUUGCAAAGUAAUAGAAAACCAAAUUCCAAAAUACCCAAGAAAACCAGGUUUCAAAAUCUCAGCUUUAAAAUACCAGAACACCAAGUUCCAUAAUACCAAAGUAACCCAGACUCAAAAUACCAGAAAACCAAGUUCCAAAGUACCAGAAUGACCCAAUUUCAAAAGAUCAAAUUGCAAAACACUAACUUUUAGAUGUCUUACACAGGCAGGAUUCCCAAACCCAAAAGAAUGAAAUACUGUCAAAAUGGGAUCUGUGAUACCAAAAUGGAUAUUUUCUCCUCUGAAAAGCUUUCCCACAAUGACCAUCAACACAGGUAUUUAUUUUAAUUAUAAGCCAGAUGCAAUAAGAAUUUUACUUCAAAAGCAAACUCUUGUAGUAGUUGUCUGCUUAGACUGUGUCCGCAAGGACCGGCAUUUGGGCCAGAGAGCUGCGGGUGGGAUCAAAGGGCAGAGUAAAUCUGCUCCCUGGAUGCACAGGGAACGACUGAGUAGCAGGCAGAGGGAGUACUUAUAAACGAUGUCAAUAUUUAUUUCACUGAAAUGCAGGAUGGACCAGCAAUGGGGGUGCUCAGGUUCAGUCUGGGCCUGUCAGGAUUAGCCAUAAACAACCCGGCUAAACCCCUGGCCCCUUAAGGGGUGUGUCAAACACUUCAACAGAAACACAAUUCAGUAAUGAUUACAGAGGAAAAAUUACCAGUAGUUGCUUAUGAUCUGUGGGGAAUUUCUUCAGUAAUUACAAACAUAGGACAUAGGGACGUUUGAGGCAGAACCCCAAUUUUGGCCACAGGCACCCAGACGAAAAGGCCGGUCCUUUUCCACAGAAAGGAAAGCCUGGAUCCCGGUGUUUCAGGGGUGGACAAUGGGCGAUGCAGGAGAGGGAACAACCAGCAGGACCUUUCCCCAGCUCACCUCCCACCCCAAGGUGCAGCAGCCCCAAGUGCAACCAAGUGAGGAUGAGGAGGGAGCAGAUCCUGCCAGAGGCUGCUUUCCGGUGGUUUCCUGGGCAUAGCUAUGCAGGGAGCUGCUAGUUGAGAGGGGCCAGUGGAGGCAUCCCAAGUGUCCCUCCAGGAACCAUGGCUGGAGCAUCCAGCAGGGGCUGGGGAGCAGCCAAAUGCACCUGGGCACAGACCGUCGCUUCAGUAAAAAGCCCAGGGAAAAGCCCUUUUGCCAAGGGGCAGCACCUGAGCAGGUGGGGCAGCAUGUAGGGUCCCGGGGAAAACCUUCAACUUUUCCCCUUUCAGCUUGUCAGUCCCUCCCCAGAGCCCCCAGAAAAGAAAGGGGUUACUAGGAAAAAAGGGGUUUAAAUUGAGGGGAAACACUUCCUUUUCCAUAAUUAUCACUGUUCAACUUGAGGGGGAAUCCAUGUCCCCAGCAAUUUUAAUAAUAUCAGUUGAAGGAAACCCCGCCUUUUCUAUACUGCUAGGGAUAUCAGUUGACAGGGAAUCCCUACUUUCCAGUUUAAAUGGAAGGGGAAAACCUUGAUAAUACUAUUUUAUAGGUUUGAAUUAAGGGUAACUCCCACACUUUCAUCAUCCUAAGGCUUAAACCGAGGGGGAAGCCCAAUUGCCCCUCCUUUUUAAGGAUUUGAAUUGAGGGGGAAAAUCCCUCUUUUUCCAGCAUUUGAGAGACUUAAAGUAAAGCAAACCCUUCGUUGGGGUUUUAGGAGCUCUCCUGUUGUUUUUUUUGUUUUGGUUUGGUUUUUUUUUGUUAAAGGAAUCUUCCCCAUUCGUGUUGCUAGGGGGACAAAUUGCCGGGCAUUUAAGACAAAGGACCGAGCCUCUGGGGGAGGGGUGCAUCUGGCUACUCUUUUGUUUCACCUGGGUGUGCAGACAGUCAGCUCCUGGAGUUUGGACGGAGAGGGAAGGUGUUCCGUCGGCUGCUUUUCCUUCUGCCAGAGAAACCCCGGGAUCCCAAGCCGGCCUUCGGAGCCGGGUCGCGGCCGCCCUGUCCCCGCCGUUGGUUCGAGCCUUCGCUGCUCUGUAGCCCUGCACGCCCUGCCUGCCCAGGCCUCCGGGGGGUUCCCAGCGCAGCUCUGCAGUCUGGAUACAUCUCGUCGGCCACCCGGGAUUUGUGUUCGUCCCUGCCGUUCCUGAGACUCCGGCCGGACAGCGGGAUCGGCUGCCUAGGGGUUCAGCCAUGUCUUGGAAUUGCAUCUUGGGAGCAUCCAGUCAGAGGUCUCUUGAAGCCUUGCUCCUGGCUGUAUUGCCAUCCAUCGUUUCCAGCUGAAGUAAAGCCAGUUAUCAGCAGUGAAGGUCAAGUGAGCGAGAAGGUGCCAUCCAGGUAGCCUUCAGCAAUGGCUGAGGAGUUGCGGCGAGUCAGGGAGGGAGGGAGGAGCAGCGAGGGUCUGCUCAAGUUUCAGCGAUGCCACAUCACCUCGUCUCCUCUUAACCCAGCCGACUGAGAACAGCCUGGCAGCAGCAUGAACUUCCCAGGUGGUGAGGUGGCAAUCUUCUUUUGUGCUGGAUGCAGAUUUACAUCCCCAGUUGUCUGAGAGAUAAGUCGAGGGUUAUGACCCACAGAGGGGAUGAAAGGGGAGUGCUGGGUCAGGCUUGCUGGGAGGGAUUUUUAAAUCAGCUUUGGAGACGGGGAUGUCCAAGAAGGGGCCCCUUAGGCCACAUAAAGGGACAGUCUUGCUUUUGGUCACAAUGCCGAGGUGUGCAGGGCAGAGCAGUCCCGAUGUGUGUGGUGUCUUUUGUGUGUUCUGUGUCUUUUUUCUUACCCCUUCGAGGGGCUUAUAAGGAAGUGCUGGGCAUCACCCUUAGCAUCUCUGAUCUCUGCAUUCCUCGGCCCGGUACUGACACUGUCCAGCCUUUGACUAGUGAGUUUGGACAUGUAUCAGAAUUGCACCUCUCUUUAGAGGUGUUGAGUUGGAUGUCUUUCAUGGUCUUGUUCUGAGCUGUAUCAACCGCUGUGCACCACGAUAAUCCUUUAUAUCGACUUAGGGCUUGUAAGAUGCGAAGAUAGGUAGAGGAUUCUGACUGUAUGAUUCUCGGGCAUCCAUCCUUGCAGUUUUGCCAGGCAGUUCUUGGAAUAAGUUGUUCUGUUAGCAUCUUUUUCCUAGGGUUCUUUGAGCCUCGUUGGCUCACUGUCAUCUCAUUCUGCAUUCUCUUGCUCCUUGCGGUUGUUCUUGUCGAGAGUUUUCUCUCCUCCUUGCAUCCCCUUGUUUGUCAUCUCCUGUGUAAUGGGUGUAUUUGGCCUGGGGCUGCUCUGCCCUGCCGCAUAGUCUGGUGUGUAGGUGUAAUAGAACUAAGACUAUACUGUUAAUUUGUCCAGCCCACAGUUUUGCAGUUACCCACACCUCCUGGUCAACAGCCUUAUGCUUGUGAUCGGUGGGAGAGUUGUGUGCUGGGGACUUGGAAUUUGUAAUGUAGGGUAUAGUUGGACUCAAGAUGGUAUUUCUAGAUUGGCACAAGAUGUUUGGAGCUGUAAAGUUAUCAUACAGCACUUUGACUUUUGUCAUAACUUUCUUUCAGAUGCAGAUGGAUUGAAUCUGUGGCAGAGCGCCCCGUACCGGGUGAGGUGGUUCCCACAGGAAGGUCAGUCACUAUUUGUCUUUGCAGGGUGAUCCACUCACAAGAUAGCCUGACCCAGAUGCUGGAGGCCAGGAGGGUGCAAGCUUAAGGUGCUGCCGCUGCCCUAGGUGUGCCAAGCAACAGAGGUGAGCAGGUACUGUGAGCAGGUGUGGAGCUGAAGUUUGGAAACAGCAGCUGCCAAAGUGGACUGCAAAGAACGUAUUGAUGUCCAUGGCGCUGAUGCGCUCUUUUCUGUUCAGGAUGGGUUUUUUCACUUGUCUUCAGCGAGCUAAGUGUUGGGAACAGUGGUUGGGAUAAGGGAAAAACCUUGGGAAUCACAGGAGGCAAUUUCAAGUUAGCUGAGAGGAGAGGGGUAUAGUGAGAUGGGCCCAUUGGAACUAAAGGGAGAGGGUUUCUCCUCAGCAUCACCUGUGUGUUUGCUGGUCAGCAGUUCCAACCCAUCUCUGUGUUCUUGUAAGUUUUGCAUUGUUGGCCUUCUUAGUCUCCAUGUCGUUGUGGAUCUUUUUGCCUUCGGAGCUUGCCUUCGGGUCUGGCACGAUUGUCAUGCUCUCAGUUUUACCUGCUCAUCGGCAUAGCCACCCUGGAGCGCUUCCGAGCAUAGCAUGUGUGCAUCUCAGCCAUUUGUCGGUCACAUUUUGCGGUGUCACUUUGGCCUUUGCCAGCAGAGCUGUUCUCUAUGGAUCUCUUUAUCACCUGGCAGUCAUGGCCUUGUUCUCUAGGCCUACCGACCCUCUCAAGCAUCCUCUUAACAGCUUUGGCACUUACUUCUCAUAAGGAGUUAUCUUUCACUGUCAAGUGCUGCUGCCAUAGAGCCUUCUUUCCUUUGGCAUCAUCAGCCUCUGGCUCAUGUUGUACUAGGAAUCUUGGAUCUGUCACUUGAACCUGCUGGGCAGUUUCAGCUUGUCUGUGUUAGGUAGUUUGUGUUGAUGUGUCCAUUGUCUUGUGUCACAGGGCUUUCUUAUGUCUCAAUGCUUUAUCAGCAUCGUUCUGAGCCAUAUUGGCAGUGGGGAGCUCUGUGAGAAGAGUGCGGGUGUGGAAUGGUUCUGACCUUGUGUGUGGGAGUUUUGCCUUUCAGGCUUUUCAGCUACUUUUUAAACUUAGAGUAAAAACAACCCAGCUGCGCUGGCUGGGGAUUUUUUCCCUCCCGGCUGGGUUUUUUUAUCUGGGACCCGGCCGGUCUGUGAGGUGCCGUUCAUCGCCAGGGUUUGGGUGCCGACCGUGCCGGGGAUUUGUCAGGCGGGAUGAUUUUGGGGCUCCCGGGAACCGCGUUCCCAUGGGGUGCUCUCGAGACGAGAGCGAGGGUGGGUUUGUGUGUCAGCUGAAGGAGGCGUGUGGUGGAUGAGUGUUUUCUUCUCCGUGUGCUGCUGUUGUUUUGGGUUUCCUGGAACAAUGAAAUGUCCUAAAUUUUCCAGAAAUAGAACAAUUGUUACAUUGUACUGAUAGGGGGUUGGCUUGUGUUGCUCUGUGUUCGUGUUUGCUGCUGCACUUGCACAUAUUGCUCUGUAUGUCAAUUGGACUUUGACCAGUGUGCAUAUGGAUUGUACUUGUGCUUGUGUACAUUGUUGUUUCCACUUGCUUUGCUGAAGUGUAAAUAAAAAACCCUCGUUCAAUCAAGCUGAAUAAACCCUAAUAAAGAUACCCCCCC